rnacentral:rRNA from 1 species
AUUGAACGCUGGCGGCAGGCCUAACACAUGCAAGUCGAACGGUAACAGGAAGAAGCUUGCUUCUUUGCUGACGAGUGGCGGACGGGUGAGUAAUGUCUGGGAAACUGCCUGAUGGAGGGGGAUAACUACUGGAAACGGUAGCUAAUACCGCAUAACGUCGCAAGACCAAAGAGGGGGACCUUCGGGCCUCUUGCCAUCGGAUGUGCCCAGAUGGGAUUAGCUAGUAGGUGGGGUAACGGCUCACCUAGGCGACGAUCCCUAGCUGGUCUGAGAGGAUGACAAGCCACACUGGAACUGAGACACGGUCCAGACUCCUACGGGAGGCAGCAGUGGGGAAUAUUGCACAAUGGGCGCAAGCCUGAUGCAGCCAUGCCGCGUGUAUGAAGAAGGCCUUCGGGUUGUAAAGUACUUUCAGCGGGGAGGAAGGGAGUAAAGUUAAUACCUUUGCUCAUUGACGUUACCCGCAGAAGAAGCACUGGCUAACUCCGUG